rnacentral:rRNA from 1 species
GACGAACCGCGCGAACGUUAUUCGGAAUCACUGGGCUUAAAGCGCGUGUAGGCGGCCCGGCACGUCCGUCGCUGAAAUCCCCCGGCUCAACCGGGGAAGGGGCGCGGAUACGACCGGGCUGGAGGGGGGUAGGGGAAUCGGGAACUUCCGGUGGAGCGGUGAAAUGCGUUGAGAUCGGAAGGAACGCGCGCGGCGAAAGCGAGGUUCUGGACCCCACCUGACGCUGAGACGCGAAAGCCAGGGGAGCGAACGGG